rnacentral:rRNA from 1 species
UACGUAGGGUGCAAGCGUUGUCCGGAAUUAUUGGGCGUAAAGAGCUCGUAGGCGGUUUGUCGCGUCUGCUGUGAAAACUCGGGGCUUAACUCCGGGCCUGCAGUGGGUACGGGCAGACUAGAGUGCGGUAGGGGAGACUGGAAUUCCUGGUGUAGCGGUGAAAUACGCAGAUAUCAGGAGGAACACCGGUGGCGAAGGCGGGUCUCUGGGCCGUAACUGACGCUGAGGAGCGAAAGCGUGGGGAGCGAACAGG